UAUUUGCUGGGAACUGGUAAAAGGGAGGGUUAUAUUGCUAUAUGGAGGAAGCCUUUGAACAACAUUUGUUAUCUGAAUCGUGAAGUUGGUGCGAAACCUCCACUUUUUUACCCGAACAAUUAUCGAGACAGUGUCAGGCAUGUGGGACAGAAGGUCUGUAUUACAAGGGUACCUAAUAACGCAUGUGAAUGUUGUCGGAGAGAGAAUAAGUACCCUCAAUUUUGCAGAGAGGGUUGCCUCUAUAGUACUUGGAGCUGCUCGAGCUAACACUUGAACGUGAAGCAAAUACUAUUUUAUUGGAGAAGGGAUCAUUGAAGUAGCUAAAUGUAGGCUGUAUUUUACAAGAGUGAGACUAGGAACUACCCCAAGGGAAUACAAUGUGCAGAUUAUGGGUUCCAUUUAUUGACUGUCCACGGGCGAGUGGGUUUCAUUUAUGUUUCUACUCAAUAUCGCGCUUUAUUGUGUGAUUAUUUGAAUGAUGGUUAUUAGUUUCUGCUGACUGAUAUUAGGUCGAGCUCAAUUUCUAUGAUAUCAAUGGCUCCUCAACUGCCAACGCAGUUUCUUGUUCAGACCCAGUAUGUAGUACUAUGGUUCCACCAGCAUCGUCUCACUGCUCAGCUGAAAGUAAACAGUGCGGUUACUCGUUUCAAUAUGGUGAUGGAAGUGGGACCUCAGGGUUUUAUGUGUCUACUAUGAUGUACUUUUAUAUGAUCUAGGGAGCUCUAUGAACGCUAAUUCACCUGCCUCUAUCGUUUUCAGAUGCAACAAUUAUCAAUCUGGAGAUUUGAUCAAUUCAGAACGUGCUCUUGAUGGGAUCUUUGGUUUUGGUCAGCAGGGCUUGUCCUUUGUAUCUCAAUUUUCUUCCAGGGUAAUAACACCUCAACCAUUUUCCCAUUUUUGAAAGGAGGAGGAAAUGGUGGGGUUAUUCUGGUGCUUGUAAGAUUUUGGGCCCAAGUAUUGCGUAUGGUCCACUUGUGCCAUCAUAGGAGGAGAGGAUGCUGCCAUUGUCAGAUACAUGUACACAAGGAUGACUGAAAUCACUAGAGAACUACUAGGAAAGAUACUGGAAUCACUUCACAGUUAGUGGAACUAUUGAGGUAGUGGAUGUAGACAGUGCAAGUGAUGCAAGUGAUGCAAGUGAAGGGACGAUGUAACUCUCAGAAUCACUGAACUACCAGUUCAGAAGUGGACUCAAGAUUAUAAGGAAUUUUAAAGAGAGACAGAGAUCAAAUGAUGUAGCAAAAUUAAAUGAUGCGGCGAAUAUUCGGUGCUAAGGAGUUCUUUGAGAUUUUUCAAAGAUGCUUCUGAUCAGGUAUUGAUGUACAUUUCUCUAUUUUCACCGAUCGUGGAGUCUAGGACUUCUAACAGUCUGUGCCUCUCAAUUUUGAGUUUCAUAAAAAGGUUGUGAUUCUUUUCAUUCUGUACUUAUUGUGCAACUCCUUUAACACCUAAGAAAACUUUAGAAAUAUUUUCAGCAGUAAUGUGUAAUGAACAUGCCUAAUAAAGAUGAUUCAGUUAUUUCACCAGGGUUAUGUGUGUUUAGUUUUGCAGUCGUUUAGCCGCUACAGGCAUAAGUCACACCUAGCGACAUUUAUGUUCAACUCUAAUAUGUAAUAUCAUGUUUGGGGUUAUCAGCUUUUCGCUGACAAGAGUCAUUAGCAAAGAGGAAAGCUGAUUAGAAAUUCUUAGCAUUGCUUCUAUUUCAUUAUUUAGCAGUAUGUAUUGGAAAUAUAAAUGUUGUCAUUGAGGAUACUCAACAUUGUGUCUGUCACAUUAGAAAGGAUGGCUGAACUUUGAAGAGACUGCAUUUCAUCCUAGCGGUUUUAGAUUUUGUUUAUAGUUCUUGAAUAGUGUGAAUUUUUUUUAAGUACCUACUUUUCUGUGAGUUUUUACAACUUCCUAGGAAAAGAAAGUUUGUUUUAGUUCAACCCCCUGCCUCUCGCUUUGCGUCUACUAUGCUGUAAAGUUGAGCGGUUGUGAACUUAAGAAGUUUGUUCGAGUCUAUUAGCUUCCUCAGUUCCUCUUUGUUUAUAUGAGAUGAUGUGAUGUGCUGCAUUUAGAAACUUAAUUAAAUAAACAGGCCAUGAAGCUUGAAACAUAAUUCCACAAAAGAUCGUGGCUCCCUUGUGGAAAGAGCUUAAUCCUGAAGAUUGGCAUCUCGUGCUAUUUUCAGAUUUUGACUUGACUUGCGCAGUUGUUGAUUCGUCUGCAAUAUUAGCUGAAAUUGCAAUUGCAACAGCAACAGCUCUACAAAGCCUUAUAUAUCAGAGUCGUAUGUUGCCACAAAGUUAGCCGAGGAACUAUCAUGACUGUUAUUUCUCCUUUCUCCUAUUAGGCCGGUCUUUUUUAAUUUUUCUAAACUUAGCCAUGUAAAUUUUUUAUGCUUAGCCAUGAAUUCUAUAUAUGUAAACU